rnacentral:rRNA from 1 species
UACAGAGGGUGCGAGCGUUGUCCGGAAUCACUGGGCGUAAAGGGCGCGUAGGUGGCACGACAAGUCAGUGGUGAAAGCUCGACGCUCAACGUCGAGUCGGCCACUGAUACUGUCGAGCUGGAGCACUGUAGAGGCUAAUGGAAUUUCCGGGUGUAGCGGUGGAAUGCGUAGAGAUCCGGAAGAACACCGGUGGCGAAGGCGGUUAGCUGGGCAGUUGCUGACACUGAGGCGCGACAGCGUGGGGAGCAAACAGG